UACAGAGGGUGCGAGCGUUAAUCGGAAUUACUGGGCGUAAAGCGCACGUAGGUGGCGACGUAAGUCGGGUGUGAAAGCCCCGGGCUCAACCUGGGAAUUGCAUUCGAGACUGCAUUGCUGGAGUACGGAAGAGGAGUGCGGAAUUCCCGGUGUAGCGGUGAAAUGCGUAGAUAUCGGGAGGAACAUCAGUGGCGAAGGCGGCCCUCUGGUCCAGUACUGACACUCAAGUGCGAAAGCGUGGGGAGCAAACAGG
rnacentral:rRNA from 1 species